rnacentral:rRNA from 1 species
AAGGAUCAUUAAUGAAUUCACUUUGGAGUUGUUGCUGGCCUCUAGGGGCAUGUGCACGCUUCACUAGUCUUUCAACCACCUGUGAACUUUUGAUAGAUCUGUGAAGUCGUCUCUCAAGUCGUUAGACUUGGUUUGCUGGGAUGUAAACGUCUCGGUGUGACUACGCAGUCUAUUUACUUAUAACACCCCGAAUGUAUGUCUACGAAUGUCAUUUAAAGGGCCUUGUGCCUAUAAAUCAUAAUACAACUUUCAACAACGGAUCUCUUGGCUCUCGCAUCGAUGAAGAACGCAGCGAAAUGCGAUAAGUAAUGUGAAUUGCAGAAUUCAGUGAAUCAUCGAAUCUUUGAACGCACCUUGCGCCCCUUGGUAUUCCGAGGGGCAUGCCUGUUUGAGUGUCAUUAAAUUCUCAAACUCACUCUGGUUUUUUCCAAUUGUGAUGUUUGGAUUGUUGGGGGCUGCUGGCCUUGACAGGUCGGCUCCUCUUAAAUGCAUUAGCAGGACUUCUCAUUGCCUCUGCGCAUGAUGUGACAAUUAUCACUCAUCAAUAGCACGCAUGAAUAGAGUCUGGCUCUCUAACCGUCCGCAAGGACAAUUUGACAAUUUGACCUCAGAUCAGGUAGGACUACCCGCUGAACUUAA